CAGGCAGAGGGGAACUGAAGGGAACAACCACAGCACAUGUCUGCAGGCAGACUCACACCAGCAGACAAACAAACUCAGUUCAAACUCAAACCUGUUUGCACAUAUCUAGCCUCUGUAGCUCUGUACUGCAACACCCUGUGUGGAUCGUCUGGGAGUGCAGUCUGUGUUCCCAGCAACAUUUCAGUUAUCGUCUGGGGGAAAGCAUAUAUUUUUAGAAUACAAAUUCAACAUCAGCCUCCAGAUCUAUUUUCAAGUGAGGGAAUUUAAAUGAAAAACUGUAAUGCAAAAGAGAAGACUGGAGAAAUCAGAAUACAAGUAAUGCAAUAGAGAAGCUUGAAGCCUGAGAAAUCCGAAUACAAAUUGAUGAGCACAAUCAGGACAUAAUCCUAAGUUUCAAGUGUGAAUGCCAGCUCAACCUUCCCACCUGCCAUAUACAGUAAAAUAUACGGAGAAUACUGGUAAGAAAGGAUCUACUUGCUUCUCACAUACAUACACACUUAUGAUGAGAAUCAGACCUCAUUUUCAGCCAACUUCAUUUAGGUCUGUAGUUCUCAGUGCAGAAUCCCCUGUUCUAUGUGGCAGGUUCACAUACUCAAAAUGGAGGCUGGAAGCCAGACUGUGGCUGCUGUGGUAAAAGAGGGUCCGGUUAGUGCUACCAUAUAUAUGUUGCAUGCAGAAAGACCUAGGUUCAGACCUUGGAUCUCCAGAUAGGGCUCAAAAAGACCCCAGCCAGUUGGUGUACUGAGCUAGAUGGACCAAUAGUCAAUGCAGAAGGCAGAUACAUGUUUAAUUUCAUUGUGAGCCACCCAGAGACGUAAGUUUUGGGUGGGAUAAAAAUAUGUUAAAUAAAC